UACAGAGGGGGCAAGCGUUGUUCGGAAUUACUGGGCGUAAAGGGCGCGUAGGCGGCCUGCUAAGUCGAACGUGAAAUCCCCGGGCUUAACCUGGGAACUGCCUUUGUGACUGCAAGGCUUGAGUGCGGCAGAGGGGGAUGGAAUUCCGCGUGUAGCAGUGAAAUGUGUAGAUAUGCGGAGGAACACCGAUGGCGAAGGCAAUCCCCUGGGCCUGCACUGGCGCUCAUGCACGAAAGCGUGGGGAGCAAACAGG
rnacentral:rRNA from 1 species